CUUCCUGUUUUUUAAAGACAUGCUAAAAAUUUGAAGACAUUUGUUUAAAAAGGUAUGGAAACGUCAGCAUUUUCCUAAUGUUCCUCUGUCCUAAUUCAAUUGCUUUGAAACACAAGUUGCAUCAGCAGCUGGUACUUGGUUGCAGAUGUUGUUCUGAUUCUUACUAAGCUACAUGAGAGCUGAAGAAAUGGAAGCACUGGGUUGUGGGUUGUGUUUGUCCAUCACAUUUCACAGCAACUCAUCUUCUCCAUCAAAAUUAGCUCUGCCAGUUUUCUGCUUUUGAUUUAGACAGAAAAAAGCACGACAGUAUUCAAGCUCCUGCAACAGUCAAAGUCUGUUCAAUUUCCUUAUCUGAAAACUGCCAUUUUGGUUCAUGUGCCUGUGAAAUGAAGCUCUGUUUUCAUGUGUCCUUGUUCUGUGACCAAACUCCGUAAAUGAAAAAGAUUAAACACAACAGACGAGCUCACAACGUACUUCUACUGCACUGAUCCUGAAAAAAAAGUCAAGCUGUUAAAACUGUCUGAGCUACCAAAAGGAGUUGUGAGGAAGUAUGAGUGUUUCCAAAGAUAUUUGGAAAGAAUACGUGUUUAUAUAGUAAAUUAAUUUCAAACAAAAGCAAUUUAUCUUGUCUGAAAAUUUGCAUGGGUUUAAUGCAAUUGAAUUAGAAAAACAAGAACAGGAUGCUUGAAAAUUCUUACAUAUUUAAAAGCAGCACUAGACACUUUCUAUUUUAGAACAAGAUUUAAUUGCUUUCUGUAAAAUGCAUUGGCAGGACAGUCAUUUUCUCACCAGCAGGUAACAACAGUUCCAAAAAAUGUGGUUUCUCCAACGUAGCUGUAGGAACUGUUGCUACCUAGAAACUAACAUGGUCAUUAAUCAAAACAAAAAGAACAAACUGUUAUAAAAAACAACAAUUUUGCCAGGCAAGUACUUUGAGUCUGCCUAAAACAGAUGAUCAGAACAUACUAUUCAGUUCUUGGUUUAUUGUCUCCAUAAAAGCUUGGAAGAAUACGUCUGGUCCAGUAAUUUAUUUUUUUUCCAGGCACAAAUAUAAUGGACUUCUGUAAGUGGUUUCAGGGAUUUUUUUUGUGGACUUUUUUUGUCUGUUGAUUGUUUGGUUUGGGUUUUUUUUUUUUUUGGUUGGUUGGGUUUUUUAAUCUUUCUAGUUCUUGAAACAUUUUUACCUUAUUGUGUCUGGCUUAUUGCUGUGGUGGUUCAAGCACAUGCAUUGUCCACCUUGAUUGCAUUGGAAGUGCUGGAAAGGAGUGAACACCGAUGGGAAGUUUCACUGAGGGUGUUAUAAUCAAUAGAGGCUGUACAAAAAGGGAGUACAGGAAUUGAAUUAAUGGAAAAAUAAAGUGAAAUUCAGAUAUGUUAUGUAGAAAUUUCAGUCCAAGAAGCACUGGAUGAGGCUCCAGAGGCAGCAGGUGAAAGGAAUAGUCAGAGAAGCACUGGAAGGACAUCCCACCAGCAAAUAUGGAGAUCUGACCUAGGUACUUGUAUGUCUGUCAGUUUGUCUGUCCGAUGUAGACACAUAUCUCCAAUCAGAGUAAACUGGUUUAUGUAUUUUUUACUCAGAAGAAUAUUAUGAAGAAUAUAUUAUCUUCUCUGGUUGCUUCAUGUAAAUAGGCCAUUGUUGAGAUGGGACAGAAGGAAGGGGUGUAAAGCAAAUGUAUAUAAUUGCCAUUUCCACUCUCCCAUGGGCAGCAGUGUCUGUGUGAACUCAGAGUUUGGAAGUGCUCGGAAAAGUGUAGGUAAUCCUGUGCAUCACCAAGUACUCAUUCCCAGUGGGGUUCCCAUUUCUCCUCAUUCUAAGAAUUUCUGCAAGUCUAGGAAAUAAGCUGUAUUUCAUUACAGUUUAUAACUAGAUUUUUUUCAUCAUAAAGUUUAGAAGAUUAAGUAUUUCUGCAAUAAAAUUAAUCUUUGUUUAUACAUUCUAUUGCAUGUGCUAGUUUUUCUUAUCACAGGAAUUAACCUCUAGUACCAAAACUCACCAUAAACUGUAAAAAUUAAAGAGGACACUAAAAACAUAGUAUUAAAAAAGACAUAAAUCAAAUUAAAAUUAACAAUAAGUUUUCUAGUUGAGCUGUUUAUUGCCAUUCAUAUUAAAUUUUAUGGGAGAAUAAAAAUGUCUGUUAUUUCUGUGCAUCUGACCAUAAAAUUGCAAACUUACCCAUUAGUUAGAAUAAUGAUGUUCAAAGCAAACAUGCAUUCUGAAUGACCAAACCAUCUGAAAUUUAAAAAUAUUUGAAAUUAAUGACAUGGAAAACAAUAUAUUUAAAACAAAUCUAUACAAAGUUAAUAUAUUUCAAUGUAAGUAGGUUAGGCAUUAUCAAAUAUUAGAUUACAAAUUCUUAUCUGCAAUAAGAAAUCUCCAUUAGCAUCAUUUACAAGAAGCCUUUCACAGAAAUACACUACUCAGAGUAAUUAAAUCUCUUGAGUCACAAGUAUAGCAAGUAUCUGAAAAGUGAUACAAAAUCGCUGGCAGAAAAUUUGACAAUGACAAAAAAACCCCAAUAAAGUAGCAAUAAAUAAUGGUGCUAGGUAGGUCCUACAGCUCAGCUUCAGUGAGCAAGCAUGUUUACUGUAACAGUGCAGAUUAUGGUUUCUGCAGAAGAAGAAACCUUUAUGACUAAAUACUCAAGUUUGUAUAUUCAGUAGAAGUUUGCUGUUUUAGUUGUGUUGCUGUUCUAUGUGUCCUGAGUUUUUAUUUGAGUCUGGGAAUUUAAAAGCCUCAAAAAAAUUGAAAUAAGUCAGACUGGUUUUCACAUCAAAAUGUAAAAGGGGUGAGUUUCACAAGGUUGCAACAGGCAGCCAAAAUCGGAACUGUUGUUUCUAAGCCUGAUACCAAGGCAGUCGUAAGGAUCUGAAACCUGUGAUAUGAUUUGCACCAUAUCUACUGCUUUUUGAAACUAGAUAAGUUUUCAGUAAUCUUCUAUUUAUUAUGUGCUUUCUCUAAUUCUAAUAUUUAGCCUCUAAUCUUGCUCUUGUUAAAACAUCCUGUUGUUACAGAACUUCACUUUGUGAUGAUUCACCGCACCAAGGUGUCUUUCUGUUGAAUUAUGACAGUGUUGCUGAGUCUUCAUUCUUUAUUUCAUGACAUAUUUAAAGAUAAAUAGUUCAUACCUGAGAUGCAAAUUCUUUUAUGUGACUAAAAUACGUGAUAACCAGCUCAGACUAAUUCAUUUCUCUGUGACCUUAGGCAGGACAGUUCAGUUCUCUGUAGCUAACAUUCUUCUCUAUAAAAUGUGAAUGGUACCACUUCAUUUGUUAUCUAAAAAGAAAGCAACUGCAGAGCUUUUUGCCUCUAGCACUGUGAUAAUGCCAAUCUGAGAGGCAUUACUGUUCAUGAUCAAAGAAAUUAAAAAGUACUACAUGGGACUAAGCAAGUGCUCUGUACAAGUUGAAGACUUUGUGUGUUUUACACCUAGACACAAGCACUUCAACCUUUGAGUACUUACACAGAGAUUUGGGAGUUUGUUGUUUACUAGCUUAAGACAACCAAACAGUUGGUUUUCUGUUCAUUACUGAACCUGCCAUGUAAAGAGUUCAAUUUGUGAAUGGAUUGCAUUUGAUUUUCUUGGUGAGGGGAACAAAGAUCUCAGUCAAUAGGGUCUCUGGAGAGGUGCCUGUGAAGUCUAAAAUGCCUUUAGGAAAACUGCAAAAUCUCCAACCUGUCCAUUUCCACCACAUUGAGAAAUUCCACACCAGCAGCAGCAUGACUGGGCUGCAGCCAUCUGUAUGGAGUUUGUUUUCUGAGGUGUGAGCCUGAUGAAUAUUCUUCAUUUAACAGUGGUUUUUUAUGAUUUAACAUUGUUGUUUUAGUUAUCAAUAUUUACACCUUUCAGAAAAUUGAGUGUUGGUAAAUGCAAAAUAGGCACAAAUAUCUUUCAUGUCUCUAAGUGGGGAGAAUGAUAAAGGCCAUAAUUUGGUUUUAAUUUUUAUUGUCAUUGUCAGUCUUGUGUAUAAACCAUUUCUAACUGCCUUGCUCUAAGGGGUUGGAUUAAUAUUUUUUUUUUCUCUUCUAAACUACUCAGAAAUGCAGUUCAUUCUUUUUCUCAUUUUAUGACUUUUCUAUUUUUAUGACUUAAAAAAUUAUUUAUUUUUAUGAUAUCACUUACUGUGGUAUUAGACUUCCUCUAACCCACAGUUUAUCUCCAUCUUAUCUUGCAGACUCAUAGGAAAGUUCCUCCUCUCACAGGUACACUUCAUCUCACAUACAGAUACCUCCUUCCUGCUAAGCUGUUAUUAAACAACGUGUAGUUGUGCUUCUAUCCAUUUGAAAAUCACAAAGCACCAAAUACACUUAGAAUGUAUCAAUUAAUUUAACUCACAGUUUCUUCUGUAAAGGAUUGUAAUUGCUU